rnacentral:lncRNA from 1 species
UUUGAUAAUGUAUAUUGUUACGCUCUGGCCCUUGGCCUUAUUUCAUAAACUUAAACGUGUAUUUUUCAUCGUGUGCAAUUUGUGACCCCCGUUCCACACUUCUCCAUGCAGAUGUCCCCGAGUACGCCUCGUAUGGUAUUUUUAUGAGAGGAGUGGUUUACCUGUACUUAAACCUAUCUAAUGAUUCUAUUUAAUCGAUGUGUCAUCUUCAUUUGACGGUGCAUUUGCCCAAAUUUGUCUCAGUUUAUCGUUACUUUCACUUAUCGGCGCCAUUCCUUAUGUUUUGUUUUUCUUGUGUACUACGUCAUAUUUGUGGGCGGGGCCAAAGUAUAAAUAGCUAGGUUUGCGUGCACCGAGUAGGAUUUUCACCUCAAUGCAGAACGAUCGCAGCUCUUUUAAACUUGCAAUAGAAAUGAUAUUGCACCAAGCACAUUAUAUAUAAAACUAAUGCAGAACAUGACGCAAAAUCACUUAAGAUUUAAUCAAAGAUUAGUAAUUGUUUAUAU